UGAGGAAUAUUGCGCAAUGGCGGCAACCCUGACGCAGCAACGCCGCGUGAGUGAGGAAGGUUUUCGGACCGUAAAGCUCUGUCGAGCGGGAAGAAAUGCAUGGUGGCUAAUAUCCAUUAUGCUUGACGGUACCGCUAAAGGAAGCACCGGCUAACUCCGUGCCAGCAGCCGCGGUAAUACGGGGGGUGCGAGCGUUGUUAGGAAAUAUUGGGCGUAAAGAGCGUGUAGGCGGCCGAGUAAGUAAGAUGUGAAAUACCUGGGCUUAACCCAGGACGUGCAUUUGAAACUAAUCGACUCGAGUAGGGGGGAGGAAAGUGGAGUUCCUGGUGUAGGGGUAAAAUACGUAGAUAUCAGGAGAAACGCCGGUGGCGAGGGCGACUUUCUGGCCCUAUACUGACGCUGAGACGCGAGAGCGUGGGUAGCAAACAG
rnacentral:rRNA from 1 species